AAGAUUAAGCCAUGCAUGUCUAAGUAUAAGCAAUUAUACAGCGAAACUGCGAAUGGCUCAUUAUAUAAGUUAUCGUUUAUUUGAUAGUACCUUACUACUUGGAUAACCGUGGUAAUUCUAGAGCUAAUACAUGCUUCAAAUCCCGACUUCGGAAGGGAUGUAUUUAUUAGAUUAAAAACCAAUGCCCUCUGGGCUCCUUGGUGAUUCAUAAUAACUUUUCGAAUCGCACGGCCUUGCGCCGGCGAUGGUUCAUUCAAAUUUCUUCCCUAUCAACUUUCGAUGUUUGGGUAUUGGCCAAACAUGGUUACAACGGGUAACGGAGGGUUAGGGCUCGACCCCGGAGAAGGAGCCUGAGAAACGGCUACUACAUCCAAGGAAGGCAGCAGGCGCGCAAAUUACCCAAUCCCGAUUCGGGGAGGUAGUGACAAUAAAUACUGAUACAGGGCUCUUUUGGGUCUUGUAAUUGGAAUGAGUACAAUUUAAAUCCCUUAACGAGGAACAAUUGGAGGGCAAGUCUGGUGCCAGCAGCCGCGGUAAUUCCAGCUCCAAUAGCGUAUAUUAAAGUUGUUGUGGUUAAAAAGCUCGUAGUUGAACCUUGGGCCUGGCUGGCCGGUCCGCCUCACCGCGAGUACUGGUCCGGCCGGGCCUUUCCCUCUGUGGAACCCCAUGCCCUUCACUGGGUGUGGCGGGGAAACAGGACUUUUACUUUGAAAAAAUUAGAGUGCUCCAGGCAGGCCUAUGCUCGAAUACAUUAGCAUGGAAUAAUAAAAUAGGACGCGUGGUUCUAUUUUGUUGGUUUCUAGGACCGCCGUAAUGAUUAAUAGGGACAGUCGGGGGCAUCAGUAUUCAAUUGUCAGAGGUGAAAUUCUUGGAUUUAUUGAAGACUAACUACUGCGAAAGCAUUUGCCAAGGAUGUUUUCAUUAAUCAGGAACGAAAGUUAGGGGAUCGAAGACGAUCAGAUACCGUCGUAGUCUUAACCAUAAACUAUGCCGACUAGGGAUCGGACGAUGUUAUUUUUUGACGCGUUCGGCACCUUACGAGAAAUCAAAGUGCUUGGGCUCCAGGGGGAG
rnacentral:rRNA from 1 species